UCUUAACAGAGUGUAGUGGUUAUCACACCGGAUUUUGAUUUCAAAGGCAUAUUCCGGUAACCCCGGUCCGAAUCCGGGCACGAC